AUUGAACGCUGGCGGAAUGCUUUACACACGCAAGUCGAGCGGCAGCACGGGGGCAACCCUGGUGGCGAGCGGCGAACGGGUGAGUAAUACAUCGGAACAUGCCCAGUCGUGGGGGAUAACACUUCGAAAGAAGUGCUAAUACCGCAUACGUCCUGAGGGAGAAAGCGGGGGAUCUUCGGACCUCGCGCGAUUGGAGUGGCCGAUGUCAGAUUAGCUAGUUGGUGGGGUAAAGGCCUACCAAGGCAACGAUCUGUAGCUGGUCUGAGAGGAUGAUCAGCCACACUGGGACUGAGACACGGCCCAGACUCCCACGGGAGGCAGCAGUGGGGAAUUUUGGACAAUGGGGGCAACCCUGAUCCAGCCAUUCCGCGUGAGUGAAGAAGGCCUUCGGGUUGUAAACUGCUUUUGUACGGAACGAAACGGUGAGCUCUAAUACAGUUUGCUAAUGACGGUACCGUAAGAAUAAGCACCGGCUAACUACGUGCCAGCAGCCGCCGUAACAC
rnacentral:rRNA from 1 species